rnacentral:lncRNA from 1 species
GCCGCCCCAGCCCCGCCCCUCCUCGAGCCGCGGCGGUCGGGGCCGCCCACGAAGGGGCUGCAUUUUUCAUCUGCAGCACGCUUUCUCUCAAGAAUCUCAAGCACACACAAGAAACCAGAGAGUAAAAUCACUGAGGCGUGAACACAUCCAGAGACCAAGGGCGUCACUGGCAGAAAAGCUUUUAGGCGGAUCCACGGCCCGAGAGCCACCCUGCCCAGAGACGCGGUUUCCUAGGAGCAGUUCACACGCGGCUCUGCAGCACCCACAAGCGGGGCCAGGGGCUGGUUUUCAUAGUUCACAGUCUGCAGGGAUCUUAACAAAAACAUGGCCGUGGUAAAAGUGCCUAGACCAGGCUUUCGUCACAACUCAUUUGGAACCAAAACUGCAGUGUCCCCAAGGCAUGCCUGUAGGUAAACAUGAGUCCAUACUGAUAAAUGAUCGAAUAAACAGGAGAGAAGAAACAAAUCUUCAAGAAGAAUAACAUGCACAGAUACUGCUCUCUCCAGGGGUUGGAGCUGAAACCUCCUCAACCCACAGAGUAUGGAAAGGGAAAAACAGGAACUUGACAGUGGAGAAAUCUGGCAGACACCACUGUGACCAGGUGGCCAAGGUCAGCACUGCCUGGGAUAGGUCGUGUGGUGGUUACAACCACCCAGUAGGAUGUGAUGAGAAAGGUGCUUGAGAAACACAUCAAACUCCAAUUGAGGGACAUUCUACAGACUACCUGGCCAGUACUCCUCAAAACUGUCAAGGUCAUGAGAAACAAGGGAAGUCUGAGAAACUGUCACAGGCAAGAGAACGCAAAGGAGAUGGGAUGACUAAAUGCAGUAUGUGCCUGGAUGGGACUCUGGGACAGAAAGCAGACAUUACGGAAAAACUGGUGAAAUCCAAAUCAAGGCUGGAUUUUAGUGAAUGGACACUAACAAUGUUGGUUUCUUAGUCAUGACAAAUGUACCAUGGGAAGAGAAGAGGUUACCAAUGGGGGAAACUAGGUGAGGGGCACACAUAAGCUCUCUGUACUAUCUCUGCCAUUUUUCUGUAAAUCAAAAAUUAGUCCAAAAUAAAAGUUUAUUGGAAAAGAAAAAAAAAGACAUAACA